UGUGUGUUUUGAAUCAGUGGCAUUCACAUUAUUUAUUAUGUUCUGCGUGUCCACUGACGCAGACGAGCUGUCAGCUGACCAGCUCACACCUGCAGUCCCUGAGAGUCGUUCCUGCUGAAGGCCACAACUCGCAUGCAACAUACUUCUUAGGACGCAUUGACAGACUGGACCAUCCAAAGGACAGAAUAGCCAUCUGGUAAAGGCGUCCACGUGUGCGUGUGCAACAGGGACCAUUAUUGGACAUUUACCAGUGUCCCUCGAUCAAGAGCACACACUGCAGGAGGAUGAGAAGGCACUGAAGCACUGAACUCCUCUCAGCUGCAGGCCAUGGAUAUAAAGACUUGUACUCAGAGUGCAUGGCUGCUUCCUCAGCCACUACAACAUCUGGAAACUGGUGGUACAGCAGAAACUGCAGCAGGUGCGUGUGCUGGAGGAGGACGUGUGGUCUGAGCACAGGUUUUGCAGCAGGCUGGUUUCCUUUAUGGACGACGACGUGGGACUCGACUGGGACCUGAGGUGAGUGACUUUGUGAAAACUUACAAAAAAACUAUUGUCAUUUUCUGGUUUGCUGCAUGAAUUUGGUGUGAAAAUUAGGUAAUGACACGUAAAUAAUUGAACUUUUUUAUUUAUUUAUUAAAGCUCCAUUGUGUAACUUCUGUCACCAAAUGACAGUCAACAGGGAAUCACAUGGCAUGUUUCCAUCAUGGUACAGUACGGAUUGGAAUGGUAAAGCCCUCAAUCAGGCUUGCGUUUGGACUGAGAACAGUACCUUUACUUGGUUGACGGGGUCUGUGCUGUGCACGACGGCUGCGUCAGCGAGAUACGUAGCAUAACGUUGUACCGGUGCGAUGACAGCGACCGUCAAACACGACACAAAAACAGAGGACAUUCAGCGGCUUGUUUGCUUUCUGCUUGAUUUGUGGCUGUUUGUC